AACUGCACAACAGGCUCAGGUCCCAGUGGCGACUGAGGAUGUGGCUGUCCAGGUGACGGAAAAAGAAGGGAUCCUGCCCGAUCCUGACCAGAAAGGUUUCCGCAAGCAAGCCAUGGAGCAAGACUGUGGGCUAAUAGCUGCCUUUGAAGCCGAGAAGUGGGCAGUCGAGAGAAAAGGAGACCCAUCGGUGGGACUGCCUGAAGGGGACGGCAUUAAAAAGAGGGAGAAACAGAGGAGAAAAUCGGUACCCAAUCAGAAAAGGAUGAUGGAGCUGAAUGACUCCCCCGCUUCCCAGAGCAGUAACUUCCAUCAAAAUGCAGUCCAAGAAAAA